UUUACUCUGAAUAAAACGAGAGGCCUUUGGAGAGCUGUCAGUUCCGGAACCACAAGUCUAACAGGUUUAUUAGGAUCACACUGGUGACUGAGUUAAGACCAGGCUGUAUGGGGCAAAUACAAAGGAAGAGCCUCCAAGAAGUAAUCUGGGUGAGAGAAGACUGAGAGUUGCAGCAGGCUGGUCACAGGGCAGAUGAUGAGAAAUUGCUGGAUCCAGGAUGUAUUUGGGAGAUGCCUGCUCCCUCUUUGCCUGCUGCCAUGAUUGGAAGUUUCCUGAGGCCUCCCUUGAAACAGAAGCUGCUAUGCUUCCUGUACAGCCUGAAGAAUCAUGAGCCAAUUAAACCUCUUUACUUUAUAAA
rnacentral:lncRNA from 1 species